rnacentral:rRNA from 1 species
AACGACUCUCGGCAACGGAUAUCUCGGCUCUCGCAUCGAUGAAGAACGCAGCAAAAUGCGAUACUUGGUGUGAAUUGCAGAAUCCCGUGAAUCAUCGAGUUUUUGAACGCAAGUUGCGCCCAAAGCCUUCCGGCCAAGGGCACGUCUGCCUGGGUGUCACAC